AUUGGACCCUGCAAAUUAGGUGGCUGGCCCCGAGCCAGGGUAUUGAGACACCACCAAAGCCGACUGCUCAACGCAAAGCCCAGAGUAAAACAAGCUAAUCAACAACCAGGACAUUCUGUCUGACCUCCACGAGGCUGGCAUCCCCUGUUGAAUUCAAAGUUUCCACGGCCAGAGCCAGAGACGAAGAGGGAAUCAUCUAGAUGUUAAGCCAAAGCGACAAACUGAGUAAGGACAGGACCAGAGCUGUGGAGGUGCCGGGAUGGAAGACGUGAAGUUCCCUAUGUAGAGCUCCGACUUUGAAGCCAGGUUCUCCUGCAGCGGCAGCUUCUGGCAUGCUGAGAGGAGAAAGCGGAACAAAGGGCAGCCAGGGAAGCUGAAUAACCACACUGCCUCCCCACUUCCAAGUGUCAGGUGACCUGCUGGAACUGGUGGUCAGAGUUCCCUCGGUACACUCCCCAUGACCAAGCUGUCAUCACCUCAUUGAAUUGAAAGGGCACCUCUGCUUCCUAAAGAGUGGAACUACAGCCGUCUGUCUGUGCUUCUCUUCACGUACCUCAGACUGGGCAUCUGGCAGUGACAGGUAAUCAAAUCAUAUCAAGGGACAUUGAGCCAUCUGCCCUAAUUUCAGCCCUCAGAAGUGAGCUAUUGGAAAGGGUUUCAGCUUUUCAUCUUGAGCCUACCAGCCAGCACGGUUCAAUUUCCUCAAUGAAAGUAUUGAUUGAGUCCUUUAAAAAUAAUUCCCAACCCUGCCGACAUC